rnacentral:rRNA from 1 species
AUUGAACGCUGGCGGCAGGCUUAACACAUGCAAGUCGAGCGGGGGAAGGUAGCUUGCUACCGGACCUAGCGGCGGACGGGUGAGUAAUGCUUAGGAAUCUGCCUAUUAGUGGGGGACAACUGCUCGAAAGGGAUGCUAAUACCGCAUACGUCCUACGGGAGAAAGCAGGGGAUCUUCGGACAUUGCGCUAAUAGAUGAGCCUAAGUCGGAUUAGCUAGUUAGUGGGGUAAAGGCCUACCAAGGCGACGAUCUGUAGCGGGUCUGAGAGGAUGAUCCGCCACACUGGGACUGAGACACGGCCCAGACUCCUACGGGAGGCAGCAGUGGGGAAUAUUGGACAAUGGGGGGAACCCUGAUCCAGCCAUACCGCGUGUGUGAAGAAGGCCUUAUGGUUGUAAAGCACUUUAAGCGAGGAGGAGGCUACUUUAGUUAAUACCUAGAGAUAGUGGACGUUACUCGCAGAAUAAGCACCGGCUAACUCUGUGCCAGCCGCCGCCGUAA